rnacentral:snoRNA from 1 species
AAAACUAUACUUUCAGGGAUCAUUUCUAUAGCCCGUUACUAGGGAAUGUUCUCUGAACAUGUAUGGCCCACACAACCACGAGGAGGCGCAGCGUUCUCUCCUGAGCGUGGCGCAGGCUCUAGGUGUCCCUUUCUUAAUACUGCCUACUGCUGUUGAUGAUCCUUCUCUCUCAUUUUGCGGAAGAGGAAGAGAACACAGUAGU